GAUGAACGCUGGCGGCGUGCUUAACACAUGCAAGUCGAACGAAGCAUUUAAGACAGAUUACUUCGGUUUGAAGUCUUUUAUGACUGAGUGGCGGACGGGUGAGUAACGCGUGGGUAACCUGCCUCAUACAGGGGGAUAGCAGCUGGAAACGGCUGGUAAUACCGCAUAAGCGCACAGUACCACAUGGUACAGUGUGAAAAACUCCGGUGGUAUGAGAUGGACCCGCGUCUGAUUAGCUUGUUGGCGGGGUAACGGCCCACCAAGGCGACGAUCAGUAGCCGGACUGAGAGGGUGACCGGCCACAUUGGGACUGAGACACGGCCCAGACUCCUACGGGAGGCAGCAGUGGGGAAUAUUGCACAAUGGAGGAAACUCUGAUGCAGCGACGCCGCGUGAGUGAAGAAGUAGUUCGCUAUGUAAAGCUCUAUCAGCAGGGAAGAUAGUGACGGUACCUGACUAAGAAGCUCCGGCUAAUACGUG
rnacentral:rRNA from 1 species